rnacentral:misc_RNA from 1 species
UGAGACAAGCAUAUGACUACUGGCAGGAUCAACCAGGUAGCAUUCCUAACGACGUCGUCACCGUACGGCCGGGCCGAGACGGGAGCGACGGUCGUGCACCGUUGGUGUCUAAUGCAUGCUCGGGCAACGAUAAGAGGCCGCGAGACCUCAAUGCCCUCAGUGCUUUCCGUAUCCGAGAGCUCGAGCAAUGCCCCGUUCACCGCGACGGCAUAGACGCGAGGCGGGUAACGGGCCAUGCUGCGAGUUUCGUCUCGUGACCCGCCGGUAAGCGGACCGCUAAACGAACGAGGGACGUUGGGACAAACGAAUGCCAUCAUGUAGGUACGCAACACAGGAAACCGGGGUCACGGCCAAGGCUAUGCCGCACUUGGGCCAAAACUGAGGAGUCGUGAGAGGCACUGUCGCUGCCCGAAGCAGGGAUCCGACGCA